rnacentral:rRNA from 1 species
AGUGAACGCUGGCGGUAGGCCUAACACAUGCAAGUCGAACGGCAGCCCAGUAAGAGCUUGCUCUUACGGGUGGCGAGUGGCGGACGGGUGAGGAAUACAUCGGAAUCUACUUUUUCGUGGGGGAUAACGUAGGGAAACUUACGCUAAUACCGCAUACGACCUACGGGUGAAAGCAGGGGAUCUUCGGACCUUGCGCGAUUGAAUGAGCCGAUGUCGGAUUAGCUAGUUGGCGGGGUAAAGGCCCACCAAGGCGACGAUCCGUAGCUGGUCUGAGAGGAUGAUCAGCCACACGGGAACUGAGACACGGUCCAGACUCCUACGGGAGGCAGCAGUGGGGAAUAUUGGACAAUGGGCGCAAGCCUGAUCCAGCCAUACCGCGUGGGUGAAGAAGGCCUUCGGGUUGUAAAGCCCUUUUGUUGGGAAAGAAAAGCAGCAGGUUAAUACCCCGCUGUUCUGACGGUACCCAAAGAAUAAGCACCGGCUAACUUCGUG